CACACACACACACACACACACACACACAUACACAUGCACACACACAGGCACACACACUCUCUCUCUGCUCCAUGAGGCAGCAGUCGCUGAGCAGCUCUGGAUAGACCACGCGAGGUUCUGCAGGUGUCCCACCCUUCUCUUGAGGCAGGGAUGCUCCAGAAGUGAUGGAAUAAGGGGGACGGUUGAAAAAGAAGGGGAUGCAAAGGGAGAGAUUCAACAAAGCACUCCAGGUCACGCUCUACAGCAAGAUGCCACGACUGCAUGUGUUCGGUAAGGUCAGAGGCUGAAAGCUGGUCAGUGGGUGACCUGCGCGGGAUGCCUGGGUGACAUCUGACCUCUGACUGGGCGUGCGAGGUUGACCCUGGAGGACAAGGUCCGACAAUGCGAGGCACGUGCCGUGGCCUAAUCUCCAUGUUUUAUGACGUUGUCACAAAGGAGGAGCUUUCUGAUGUGGAUGGUACUGCAUCAGGAACUGAUUGGCUGAUACUUCACUGCCAACAGUACCUGAUGCAUGGCCUUCAGCAUCGAAAGAAACGUCACAUGACUCCAGCUGUUUUUGAUCAAACUUACUCACUGGUUUUCUACAGACAGUAACAAACUUUGUUCAAUGAUACUCUUUGUGUUUCACGCUUGAAAAUAAAUAUUUGUGCAUGCACACAUUAGUCAAACCUCUGAACUCUGAUGUCUGGCUGGAAUGGCUAUGAACAUUUUCCGACUUAUAGGAAUGAUAUAUUUAAGUUUGUGUUUGUGUUCUCUGGUGUAUAAUAUUUCCCCUCCUCAAGUCUAAACAUUGUGCCUUCAGGCCACACUGUAAUAAUUUCUGUUCACAUGGUACUUCACUGCAUGUUGGAUCCAAACCUUAGACUUUGAUAUUUUAACAAUAAUAGGAACAUGUGGCCUCCUUGCAGAAGUUGUAGUGCUUCUUGAACCAUUUCACAUUUUCUCAGCCUACAGCCACAACUUCCUUUGUGUCUUCUUGCAGUUUUAUUUGAGAGACCAACACACAGAAGUGAAUUAUUGUGAACUGGAACCAAGCAGGUUGUUUAACAACAGAAAUCUGAAACUGUGCCAUGCAUUUGAAUGUCAAGCAUUACAUUAUGCUCCAUCUCAACCUGCUUCACAUUUCUGGAGACUGAACAUUUAGCCUAUUUUCCUUUUUCCAAAAAAAAAAAAAAAAGAAAAAAGAAAAAUCUCAUGCUCAGUCAGAUUGAAUGGAGGGCAUCUCUAAAGAUCAAAUCUUGAUAUAGAUACUCACAUGGAUUCAAGUCUGAACUUUGACUUGGCCAUUCUAAGUAAUGAAUGGACAUGUUGUGUCCUAAAACACUAUGUUGCAGCUCUGGCUCUAAGUUCAGGGUCACAGUCCUGCUGAAAGGUCAACCUCUGCCCUAGUCUCAAGUCUUUUGGUGGUUUUAUCCAGGAUUGCCCUUUACUUAAUUCUACCCAAUUUCUCUCCAUCUCUCACCACCUGUCAGGUCCCAGCAUCAUGUUGUGUGACCUGAGAGGUCACCCUCACACAACAUGAUGCUGCCAGCACCAUGUUUUACAGUGGGGAUGCUAAAUUCAUUGAACAUCCUCUUUCGUGUUUGCUGCGUCUCCAUGAACUAUUUUCUUUCAUUUUUGUAGCUUUAAAUCAGACGUGUUGUUGGCUUUAUUUUACUAACGGCUUUCUUUAUUUUCACUUUUACAUAAUUGCGAGACCUGUGGAGUAAACAGCUAAUAUAUAUUUCGCCGUCAGAAUCUCCAACCUGGGCGAAUUUGGAAGAAAUUAUCGUGUCUCUUCCAAGCUGCCAUCUGCUUCCCACCAGCUUUUCUGAUUAAACCUCGUCUCGCCUUUCAGGUGGAUAGUGAUGUCUCAACAGGUUUGCGGUUGUGCUUAACUAUUCCCAUUUUUGAUUGACAAACUUCUUAAAUUGCCCAUCUGUUUUCUUCUACUUUGCGUUCAUCCACUACUGUUUGUUAGUUUGUCACAUAGAAUUUCAGUAAAGUGCAUUAAAUUUAUUGUUUUAAUGCGGAAAUGUCAUAACUUUUGAGACACACUAACCCGAAUAUAAAUAUAUCUCAUUGCUAUCUGAGGAAUCAUGUUCCUCUCUUGUUCGGAUUAGACACCUGGAUGCCUUUAGGCCACACCUCAGACUCACUAUACACUUAGAUUGGCUUUUAAUAAUUAGAGAAUAACUGUAAGUUGCAUGAGGACACUUUCUCACGCUCAAGUAUG